GACGAACCGUGCGAACGUUGUUCGGAAUCACUGGGCUUAAAGGGCGCGUAGGCGGUCUGCCAAGUCGGGGGUGAAAUCUUUCGGCUUAACCGGAAAAGGGCUUUCGAUACUGGCAGACUUGAGGGAGGUAGGGGCAGAUGGAACUUCCGGUGGAGCGGUGAAAUGUGUUGAUAUCGGAAGGAACGCCGGUGGCGAAAGCGAUCUGCUGGACCUCUACUGACGCUGAGGCGCGAAAUCCAGGGGAGCAAACGGG
rnacentral:rRNA from 1 species